UACGGAGGGUGCAAGCGUUAUCCGGAUUCACUGGGUUUAAAGGGAGCGUAGGUGGGCUGGUAAGUCAGUGGUGAAAUCUCCGGGCUUAACUCGGAAACUGCCGUUGAUACUAUCAGUCUUGAAUAUUGUGGAGGUAAGCGGAAUAUGUCAUGUAGCGGUGAAAUGCUCAGAUAUGACAUAGAACACCGAUAGCGAAGGCAGCUUGCUACACAAUUAUUGACACUGAGGCUCGAAAGCGUGGGGAUCAAACAGG
rnacentral:rRNA from 1 species